CGCAUGAUGGACCAUGCAUCAACAUGUGUGCAAGAAGUUAGGAUAUGUAGCAGUCGCCGUAACUUCAGCGGAGGUUUUUCCUUUAGUUGGAGCAUUGAUUUGCAUGCUACCACUACUAUGAAGGGGUUUCUAGAUGCUAUUUCUGCACAGUACAAUUGGGUUGUGUGGUCUGAUGAUGAAACUAUCAUUGUAGAAUGGUUUGAUAGUGUUAGUGAGAAAUACAAACCUGUUGUAAAUGAUGAAGAGUUGAUGACAAUGUUUGAGUGUUUUAAGCAAGUUAGACAUGGCAAAGUAGCACUUAAAGUUUUAAAUGAACAUGAAAAAAGGGAUGAGUUAAAUGCUAAUACGCCAUGUACUCCUUCACAUGCAACACCUUCUCUAGCACUGCCUAGUCAGCCAAGUAAUGUCAGUGAAGAAACUGAAGAACCUACGGAUACAUAUCUAGCGAAUCCACACGAGGAAUAUGAACAUGUAGGUAUUGAUGAGGAAGAACAGUACUCAAUUGGUAGUGCUUGCUCGGAUUCUGAUAGUAGUGAGGAUGAGGUUGAUAAUGUUGUAGUUGAUGUGGAUGGUGUUGAGGAUAGCAGUGAUGAUGAGGAGUGGAUUGCAAAAGAUGCUAUACCGGAUGAUGCUCCUCCGGAUGUAGCGCAUAACAUGGAAGACCCAACCAUGGCUAUGGGCACUAUAUACCCGAAUAUUGAAGUGUUUAGAUUGGCAAUUGCUCAAUACUCUAUUAAUCGUGAAUUUGAGUACAAAAUUGAAAAAUCUGAACCUACUCGAUUCAGAGCUAAAUGUGCACAAAAAGGAUGCAAAUGGAGAAUACAUGUCGAUACAACUGAUGACGGUGUCACUAUGGAGGUGAAAAUCCAUGAUGAAGAACAUAAUUUUCACAGCACAAGAAAAAGUGAUAACCCGAAGGCUGCUUCAAAGUCUUGGAUAUGUUCCAAGGUAAUUGAUUGGGUAAAAUAAGAUCCUAGUGUGACAUCAAUGGAGCUACGAAGGAGGUUGCAUGAUAAGUACAAGAUUUGGAUCCGUUAUGAAAAAGUUUACCGUGGAAGAGAGCUAGCAUCGAUGAGGUUGUUUGGAAUUGGGAUGAUUCAUUUGACAAGUUAUAUGCUUGGAAAGCUGAAGUUGAAAAAAGAUCUCCUGGAAGCAUAGUGGCCAUUGAUCCAAUGGAGUAGAAAGGAAAAAAGGGUUGUGAGGAUGUUUGUUGCAUUCAAGCCUUUGUGUGAUGGGUUUUUGGCUGGUUGCCGACCAUACUUGGCAAUUGAUAGUACUCAUUUCACUGGGAAGUACAGAGGUCAGCUAGCAACUGCUAGUGCUGUUGAUGGGCACAAUUGGUUGUACCUUGUUGCUUAUGCAAUUAUUAACUCAGAAACAACAGAAAGUUGGGAUUGGUUCAUGGAGAAGCUUCAUCAAGCUAUCGGUUGUCUACCUAGACUUGCAAUCUGUUUGGAUGCAGGAAAAGGGAUUAAUAGUGCAAUUGAAGAGGUGUAUAAGUAUGCUGAACAUAGGGAAUGCAUGCACCUCUUGGUUGUCAACUUUAAGAAAAAAUUUCAUGGUGAAGUAUUUGAUGACCAUAUGUGGCCAGCAGCUUAUUCAUGGACCCCAGAAGCUUUCGAAGCCCACAUGGCAGCCAUACAUGAGAAAAAACCUAAAGCAAUAGAGUACUUGACAAGAUACCAUAGUAGGCUUUGGUCCAGGAGCAAAAUUUCCACUUCCUCAAAGGUGGAUUAUGUGACAAACAAUCUGGACGAGUGCUUCAACAACUGGAUUAUCAAGCACAAGGGCAUGAUGUUGUUUCAGUUGGUGGACAAAAUUAGAAGGAAGAUAUUAGUGAAGAUGGAGAAGAGGAGGAGGAUUGCCAAAAAAUUGGAAGGCCAUCGUAUACUACCUAGUGUCAUGAAGGAGUUGAAUGCAAAGAGUAGAGGGUUGGACAUAGAGUAUGAGAGGAUUGACCACAUGAAAGCAGAGGUGAGUGAGGGUGGUGAAGAUGGCAAGCGACAUGUUGUGGAUCUGGACAUGAGGAUAUGCACAUGUAGAGAUUUCCAAGUAUCAGGGAAGCCUUGCAAGCAUGCCAUUUCCUUCAUCACCGGAAUUAGAGGGGUCACUAUAGAACACUUUGUUGAUGAUUACUACAGUGUUGCCAAGUUCGCAGCAGCAUAUACUCCUGUAAUGCCGGGGCUUACUGAUGCAUCUCAAUGGCCAAAGAAAACCCAUGAAUUCUUUUUGCACCCUCCAAUCCUUCAAAGUGCUCCUGGGAGGUGAAAAGUAGAGAGGCACAAGAGUGGUGCUGAGCAUAGCAAGAGCAAGAGAAGAAAAGGACAACAUCAGUGCCCAAUUUGCAAAGACUAUGGUCAUAGAUGGCAAGGUUGCAAAAAUGCUGAUCUAGAUGCAAAGGAAGCAUAUGCUAAUGUGGCAAAAGAAUGAAGGAAAAAAGAAAUAAAUCCAAAGUUGCAGCAAGGAGUGGUGACUCUAAUAUUCAAGCAAUCGAAGGUACCCAACCAACGUUGCCCCUUCCAUGUUCAGCUACCAACCCAAGUGAAGUAGAUGUGGUGAAGUCAACGUCAUCUAAGACUACAUCAUCUAAAUCUGUGAGUUCAAAACCGGUUCAAACCAAAUUGAGAGCACCUCAAUGGAAAUUGCGUCAACACCAAAAUGGCGCAAGGGCAAGUCGAAGGCAAAGGUGAUCCUAGCUGCAGCGGACAACCCCGCAAUGGCCACUCGAAGCAAGAAAAGGCAACCAAACAGCCCUGCGAUGGCCACUCGUAGCAAGAAAAAACUGAAAAGUGUGAACUUAUUUCUUUCUAUGACAUUUGUGGACUUGUUUUCUUGCACUGGACAUUGGUCUCUUUUGUGCAUUUCAAUUUCUUGUACUGGACAUUGGUCUCCUUUGUGCACUUCAGUUUCUUGUACUGGACUAUGAGUACCAUGUCUAUUUCUCUUGUUUACUAUCCU